UGAAAUCAGCGCCUAGCCAGUUCUUUUGGACUAUUAAAUUAAAUCUAGAGAAUCAUUGUAAAGCUAUGUUGCACAGAUAACAUGGACUUGUACCUACAUCAGUUAUCCCUCCAGCCUUUUAACACUCCUUGAGGAUAAGCUGCAGAGGGGUUGUGUGUCACAGAGCUCUGAGUCACUGCCCAGCAACAGAUACAGGUGCAGAACAGACAAUGGAGGCAUUUGGAGCUGCAGGGCUGUGACAGGAGCAAAAGUUCAAGAUCAGCUCUGUCAUGUGCUUGAGGGUGGAGAAGUUUCUAGGAGAUGGGCACAGUGCCACAGGUUCCUUAGUCCAGAUAAGCCCACCCUGGGCUUAUCUGGAAUAAACCUCUGUCAUCUUUCAAAGACUCAGCACCUUCAUUGUAUUUUCUGUGGCACUCAUGUGGAAUCAACUGAUAUAGACAAAGCAUCAUCUGUGUGGCACAGCCAGAGUGACUCUGCAUCCAUUUAAUUCAUGCCAAAAAUGCACAGUAGGCAAUGGAACAACA